rnacentral:lncRNA from 1 species
GGACUGCUCUUAUUUUUAGGCUCUUGCUUGAAAUCACUGUUUCCUCUGUAAACUGUAAACUGUUUCCUCUGUAAAGCACCUCCGGUUAGUGCCUGGUCAGAUUCCCCAGAAGGGCUGAGAGCUCCUGGGGAUUGAGAGGGCUUGGCUUUGCCUAUCUCUUUGAGGGAUUGGCUUCCAACAUAAGUCAUUAAAUUUUGGGGAUGUCUAAGACAGAUCAUUUCUAACAUACCCUCCAAAUUUGGCAAAGUGCUGACGAGUCAACUGAGUAUUAAAAGGCCAACUGAAAUGUAGCUUUUGUUGUUUUGCAGUCAAAUUGUUCAAAGUGUUUCUGGUCGGUUACCCUGGUGGCAGGGAUGGUGUAAGUUGUUUUUUCUCUCCUCCCCAAUCCAACCCAUUUCUAGGCUCUGGAUUCAGUAGGUAUCCGAUUACCAAGAGCUUGUGAACCGCGGCUGGCCCACGACCAUGCCCAAAGUGGGGUCAAUGGCCUCCGGUAUGGGCCAGGCCGAGAGAGAAGUGGGGGAAAUGAACCCAAGAUUGUCCCUUGCGUACCCCACGUUGACAAAUCUCUGGAAAAAAUUGGCCCAAACUUACCUAAAGAAGUCUUCAGAGUCCAUUACCCUGCGAGGGCUGACACGUGGGUACCCUCCUGACACAUUACUAAGAAAUCGGAGACCCGGGGGGUGCAGUCUACUUAAGACCGGGAAGCUGGGCACAGAGGGGCCGGCCGCAGCGCCUCCCGGGCGGGGCCCUCCUGACACGCCCCAAGGGGUCGGGUCCAGGGGGCGGGGCGCGCGGGAAGGACGCCGGGCUUUGAGCCGCGUGCACCUAUGGCUGUGCUUCGCUGCCUCGGAGCUCUGCGGCCGCUGGUUAGUGAGAACGCGCGGCCAGGGCUGGCCUAGUGGGCAGGGCCCCGGGGAUGAUGAAAUACGUCCGCGUGCGGGUGAGUGGGGAUUCCAGACUUCCAGCGAAUAUGCGGAGCCUGGGUCCUCGCAGCGGCCACGGACUUCCUUGACGUGCAGUCUCUUCUUCACCUUGUGA